UACGAAGGGGGCGAGCGUUGUUCGGAAUCACUGGGCGUAAAGCGUGCGUAGGCGGUCGUGAAAGUUAGGAGUGAAAGCCCCAGGCUCAACUUGGGAAUUGCUCUUAAUACUACACGACUAGAAUUUGGGAGAGGAUAGCGGAAUUGUCAGUGUAGCAGUGAAAUGCGUAGAUAUUGACAGGAACACCGGUGGCGUAAGCGGCUAUCUGGACCAACAUUGACGCUGAGGCACGAAAGCGUGGGGAUCAAACAGG
rnacentral:rRNA from 1 species